rnacentral:lncRNA from 1 species
ACACUGGAGACUGUGGAGGGAACUCAGCCCAGGGUCUGACUGGUGUCAGGCUCUGUACAUGGACAUUGUGGUGGAGGUAAUUACCUGCAGCUCUAGGAGCACCCAGAGAACAAAGUCAUUAACUCAUUAGGCCAGAAGGAGACUAGGAAGACUCCACAGAGAAGAGGCUAUAAGGAAACAUUGCACAGGAGCGGCGGGGCAGGAAGCGUGCUUUAUGAAGAUUUACCCGGCAGCAGGUGUGAAAUUGGCAGAAGAGACAGGAGGAUGACGCUGAGAAGUGAAGGGCUUGAGGCAUAAAACAGUUAACAAACUGUUGAAGCUGUCUUGGGGAGAGGUAAUUAAUUCUGUUCAGCUGUUAGUUGGUGUUCUGACUGUACACAUUUAGAAUGAUGGGCUUUGACAGGCCCAAUGUUGUUUUGCAGUAUAAAUGGUAAGAUAGUCAUUUCAUAGAAAAAUCAACACGGAAUCUUUUUGCCUAAUUGAUCCCUAAGCUCCUGACUUUUGCCUCUGCCCCCAACACUGCUCCCCUUGAAUCACGCCCCCUCCACAUCCUCUCCUCACCCCUUGUUUCACUGCCCAGGCUUCUCCCUCUUAGGGCAAAUACCAUGAACAGGUAGUUGUUAUUAGUUGACAUUGUGUGGCUGAAGGCCAGUGAAUAAUUACAUCCAUCUCAUCUCACCUGUCUCCCAUGGCACCGACCGGAGACAUCAGGCACAGGCAACCAUCUCCAGAGUACAUCAGCCCCUCGGGGACCUGCUCAGGUUGGCUGAAUCUCUGCCUCAGUGACACAUUUUGUGCUGAGCUGUGAGAAUUGCUUGGGAACCAAGAGCUGCUGGCGGAAGGGCUAACUCUAAACAGCAGGAAACUUCCCAUGGCAGAGGGCCCCCGCAAUGGGGACCCCAUGCCUUCUGAGCUGGAGAUGCCUCGCUGCCUGACCACAUGGCACCAUGAGUCUCUAGCUCCCACCACCACCCCAAAUCCUCACCCUCAGGGCUCGGGGCCAGGUGCACAGGCCUGAGAGCUGGCAGAAAGAGAGUUGUCUACAGCCAGAAGGGGAUUUCCUUCACCAUCCCACCCAAACGUUGUUUGGCUGCCGCUGCCUCUGAGCUUUUCAGAAAUGAAAAAGAGAGAUAGGGAAGUGGGAGCCCUGGUGGGCUCUGGAACCCUUCUGUUUUCUCAAGGGCAUGGCAGUAGGUCCAAAAUGUCCUCUGGGUCUGAAAAUGAAAUGCCGGCACAGAGCAGAUUCCUGACGAAUGUGGCCCAGAUGUUUCUGAGCGAUUUAUUUUUGCUAAUGGAAAAUGGCUGAGCUAAUAACCCUCAGAAACAUUUCUGUAGGGAGAGUUGAAGCCUAUUUUGCCUCUGUGCUUGUUUUUUGCUUGUGGUUUUCUUUUAUGGAAGAAAUUGGAUGUAGGAAAAAGCCCAAAUAACAACUCUGUCUGUAACAGCUGAUGCCAAAAUCCCAUGUAUAGAUUGUGUGACCUGAUUUCUACCAAUUAUUGACAAUUCAGUGAGGCCCAAGUUCUUCUCAUCAAUUACCUCACUUAUAGGGAAAUGACAAGGAAAAUACAAGGGUUAAAAGAGACUCUGAG